AUUGGGGAAUUUUCCGCAAUGGGCGAAAGCCUGACGGAGCAAUGCCGCGUGGAGGAGGAAGGCCUGUGGGUCGUAAACUCCUUUUCUCAGAGAAGAAGUUCUGACGGUAUCUGAGGAAUAAGCAUCGGCUAACUCUGUGCCAGCAGCCGCGGUAAUACAGGGGAUGCAAGCGUUAUCCGGAAUUAUUGGGCGUAAAGCGUCCUGAGGCGGCUUACCCAGUCGACUGUGAAAGCUCAAGGCUUAACCUUGAAACGGCAGUCGAAACUUGUAAGCUUGAGUACGGUAGGGGCAGAGGGAAUUCCCGGAGGAGAGGUGAAAUUCGUAGAUAUCGGGAGGAAGGCCAAAGGCGAAAGCACUCUGCUGGGCCGAUUACUGACACUGACAGACGAAAGCUAGGGGAGCGAAAGGGAUUAGAUACCCCUGUAGUCAAU
rnacentral:rRNA from 1 species